ensembl:lncRNA
CUCACACAUAGAGCUGAGGCUUGCGGACCUUCUCCAGGGUCAAAACACUUCCACACCAUGCACUCCCCCGUUCUUCCUUCAAGACUCAGCUCAGACACCCUUCCUACAAGUUCUCCAUGACUCCUUAAGACCAGCACCCAGCCUCAGUCAUGUCCAGCUCUUUGCAACUGCAUGGACUGUUGCCCGCCAGGUUCCUCUGUCCAUGGGAUUUCCCAGAUCUCAAUCGUUUUGAGGAGUGCUAGACAGGUGCCUGGUGGGCUGCCGUCUAUGCGGUCACACAGAGUCGGACACGACUGAAGCAACGCAGCAGCAGCAGCAGCAGCAGACAGGCGUUUUGUAGAUUUGGACUUGGUGAUUUUAACGAGAGUUUGGUCCCUUCACUCACCGCAUGAAUAAAAGCCUGUCCUGAAA